AUUGAACGCUGGCGGCAGGCCUAACACAUGCAAGUCGAGCGGAUGAAGGGAGCUUGCUCCUGGAUUCAGCGGCGGACGGGUGAGUAUUGCCUAGGAAUCUGCCUGGUAGUGGGGGAUAACGUCCGGAAACGGGCGCUAAUACCGCAUACGUCCUGAGGGAGAAAGUGGGGGAUCUUCGGACCUCACGCUAUCAGAUGAGCCUAGGUCGGAUUAGCUAGUUGGUGGGGUAAAGGCCUACCAAGGCGACGAUCCGUAACUGGUCUGAGAGGAUGAUCAGUCACACUGGAACUGAGACACGGUCCAGACUCCUACGGGAGGCAGCAGUGGGGAAUAUUGGACAAUGGGCGAAAGCCUGAUCCAGCCAUGCCGCGUGUGUGAAGAAGGUCUUCGGAUUGCAAAGCACUUUAAGUUGGGAGGAAGGGCAGUAAGUUAAUACCUUGCUGUUUUGACGUUACCAACAGAAUAAGCACCGGCUAACUUCGUG
rnacentral:rRNA from 1 species